UGUGUCCUACGGGAGGCAGCAGUGGGGAAUAUUGCGCAAUGGACGAAAGUCUGACGCAGCGACGCCGCGUGAGGGAUGAAGGUUUUCGGAUCGUAAACCUCUGUCAGGAGGGAAGAAAGCGCAUGGCGCCAAUCAGCCAUGCGUUGACGGUACCUCCAAAGGAAGCGCCGGCUAACUCCGUGCCAGCAGCCGCGGUAAUACGGAGGGCGCGAGCGUUAAUCGGAAUUACUGGGCGUAAAGCGCGCGUAGGCUGUUGGGUAAGUUGGGGGGGAAAUCCCACGGCGCAACCGUGGAACAGACCUUGA
rnacentral:rRNA from 1 species